rnacentral:lncRNA from 1 species
UGCAAACAGUGCUCCAUUAGCUUAUCAGAACUCCAUGGAUCAGUGUAAAAAUCUGAAUUUUUGAAAUCUUAGUAUAACAGUAGCAUAGGGGGACAUAUGAAACAUUUUCCAUUUUUAAUGUAUCUUAAAUCAUAGAGAAUUAUAGGUGUGCAGAAUCUUGCCUAGCUUCUGUUUUUUUGUUUUUUCUAUUUAAAGACAAGAGUUUCACUGAGAAGCCUUGGCUGGCCUGGAACUUACUACAUAGCCCAGGAUGGCUCAAGCUUGCAUCGAUACUCCUACCUCUGCCCACAGAGUGCUGGGAUUACUGGCCUGUGUUGCCAGACCCAGUCUAACAGCACCUAAAGAGUUCUUCGACUUUGAAUCCCUGCCCCAGCACUUAAGUGCAUGGCUGAAAGACCGGCCAACUCCAUACUCAUAAAGGAAACGGAAAUACUUUGCAUACUUAAUAUGAACCACUCUGAUGGCUCAGCAGAUAAAGGUUUAUGCCCCACAAGCCUGAUGAUCCAGGUUCGAAGGUCCCAUACGGUGGGAAGAGAGAACCAACUCUCCAAGUUGAACUCUGACCUCCACCAUCGCACUUUGGCAAGCCCUUGCUCUCUGCUCAAUAAACAGAUGUAAU